rnacentral:rRNA from 1 species
AGUGAACGCUGGCGGCAGGCCUAACACAUGCAAGUCGAGCGGCAGCGCGGGGGCAACCCUGGCGGCUAGCGGCGCACGGGUGAGGAAUUCGUCGGAAUCUGCCUCCUUGUGGGGGAUAACGUCGGGAAACUUACGCUAAUACCGCAUACGUCCUACGGGAGCAAGUGGGGGACCGCAAGGCCUCACGCAGAAAGAUGAGCCGACGCCCGAUUAGCUAGUUGGUGGGGUUAAGGCCCACCAAGGCGACGAUCGGUGGCUGGUCUGAGAGGAUGAUCAGCCACACGGGAGCGGGACCAGGGCCCAGGGGACUACGGGAGGCCGCAGUGGGGGAUAUUGGACAAUGGGGGCGAGCCUGAUCCAGCCAUGCCGCGUGUGUGAAGAAGGCGUUCGGGUUGUAAAGAACUUUUGUCCGGAAAGAAAUCCCUGGGGCUAAUACCUUCGGGGGAUGACGGUACCGGAAGAAUAAGCACCGGCUAACUUCGUG